GCUAGAUCCGCAACAUACAGAAUUUUCGCCAUGGUUACCAAGAGAUCUUAGGGCAUUUCUUGGUUGGCCUUAAGCCCUUUUUCUAUUCCUUUAUGAGGGUGUCUUCACAUCCUGAACAUGAAGAUCAACACGGUGGUGUAACAUUUUGGGGUUUCUGCAAUCUUUUCAGCAAGCGACGAUCUGGGCAUUCUGCCUGAAUGUGGUUGUGGACCUCCUGUUUCAGUGGUUUGUAUAACCAUAAAUGCACGAAUUUUGAGAAGUGACCUGGAAGAGCCCAUUCAGAUGAUUAUGUAUGUCUGAUAAAUCUGGUUGUGAACAGACGGUUCCCCUGUGUAUCCAGAAGCACAUCUUCAUCCCCUUAGAAGGCAGUGGUCUGUUUCACUCAAUGCAUGGGGCUCAUGUUACCCUUCUUUCCAUUUUUCCUCCUCUUCUGAGUGACCCAUCUGCCAUUCAUCAGUAACUGACAACGGGAAUAGCAGGUAGGAGUCCUCAUCUGAGGAGUUAGUAGCCGGAUAAGCAUGGUGCUGGGGAUGAGAUCUUCCAAUGCCUUUUAGUAGAUGACAUUUGCUCUCUUCAAGACCGGACCAUGAGGACAGUAAUCUAUUACCUGUAAAAUGUAAUUGUUUGGUGAUAUAGUGAUACAUGUAGUUUCUUGGAAAGUUGUUGUGUGGAUCCUGAGCUGCAAGUUAAAUGCAAAUGGAAAUAGUCUCUUCAAUUGUGUGGCCUCUGAGGACCAGAAAGUGAUGAAACACAACAAUUAAAGAGGGGAUAUGAGAUGGGGGAAAGGUGUAAUGAAAAAGUGGAUAUGAGAUGCUAGGAAAUUGUAAUGAGCUGGGGAACAUGAGAAGGGAUGAAGGAGUAAGAAAAUACAAGGUGAUGGGAAAAGAGACAAAGGGGCUAUGGAAUUGGAAAUAUGAGACUCCUGUACCUAUUUACUGAUAGAUAGUAACAUUAUCCCUCAUGGACAUUUUAAAUUAUGAUAACUCCACCACUAAGUGUAGCCUGUAUUGUAUAUGACCUACAGCUUCCAACAUUGAGAAGGAGGAAUUCAGGAUAGGUAGUGGGUAGGCAAAGAGGGGGCUUGGGAAUGGUACUGCGGUUUUUGCAAUUCACGUGAACAAGGUGUUGUCUCAGCUGGAAAGGAGCUUGCCUAAAGACAGCCACACUCU